rnacentral:pre_miRNA from 1 species
GAGACACCCCUAUGGGAGCAGGACUUGCUUCGGUGGGGCUUUGGUGCUCACUGAGUCUGCCCUUUGAGUGUGUCACU